rnacentral:lncRNA from 10 species
CGGCGAACCGCGCAAUGCGCUUCUUCUGCCUGCAGCAGAGAAAAGGAAAGAAAACUCCGCAGGGGCUCCGUUGGCUUCUCCACGAGUGACAACCAUGUUUUCCCAGAUAGAAGACCGGAGCCCUGCUCCUUUGCGAUCCGCCGAGGGCUGCAGAGAGCAUCCUCAUCCAUUUGGGCACCCCUGCCCAGGAAGAGCCCGGCCAUCCCUUUCCGGACUGGAUCCUUAAGAGGUGAAUUUUCUUCCGUGGAUUCCGAUUUGCUCCGUCUGACCAGCCUAGGCAAUCCAGCAUCGCGUGGUACCAGUGCCGCUGGGCACACUGGCUUCACGCCGGCUCCGCCUCACCAGCAAGCGCAUUCCCAGGUGGUCAGGCUCAGGAUGGACCAUGAGCUUUCAAAAAGGAAAAAGGUGGAAAUCCUCAACUAUGCUGCCAUCUGAAUAAGUGUUUCUUUGUAGAUGCACAGAGUCAAGGAAAAUUACAUCCCUGCAUUAUGUAAUGUACCAACAACGCACUUACCCACUGUUUUAAUCUAGGUUAUUCUUGAAAGCAGAGCCUGAGACAAAGGUAGACACAUUCUAUUUAUGAGUCUAACACCCAGGAGCAGGAAUGAGAGAUAGGGGAGUGAACUGGGGAAAAGGGAAACUAAGUCCGAGCAAAACCAGAUACUGCUCUUAUCAAGUGGUCCACCCCUAUUAAUGGCUACAUAAUGCAGAACUUUCUCAGGAUUCUUCUUAAACUUUAUCUCAGAACUGUCUGCCUCAGGGAGAAAGGAGAAGUAUUUCUCCAUCAGCAGCCACCUCCUGUGUGUUGAGGGCUGCUCCUUUGGGGCAUUAACCCACUGCCUCCACCACCCCAACCCUCUGGGCUGCAAAGAGCUAGCUGACAGUCCAGCUGGUACCUUAGCAUCACACAUUGCUGCAUCAGAGAGGUCUUAAGACAGGAAGCUAGAGUCUUGGUGCAUGCUCGAAGUGAGACGGUGUCAGCACAGAGCAGGGUAAAAUCUUCCCGUUAACUCUUCACCAGAGCUAUGACUGGAAUCAGAGGUUGAAAAGAUGUGAGACUGUACCCAAGAAGCAUCUUAUAAGCCUACGUAAUAUACUGUUAGACUCAUCGAAAUCUAUUUCCUCCCUUCUUUAUAAUCAAAACUUCAGUGUCCAGAAUAAAGUUGGCAGAAGGGUUAAAUUGGAAAGUUAAAUGUACUAGAAGGUGUACAUUUAUAAGUUUUGACCUUGAGUCGUGUUCAAGGAGAAAGUGACAUUGGAACUUGGAAAAUUUAAAAAUGAUUCUACUUGAAAAAUUUGACCAUUGCAUAGAAAUAUUAGCUAUCGUCUAAUCUUUUGUAAUCUUAGAAACAAUCGUGAAUUGUUUGGUGAAAAAUGAAAAAAUAACCAUUUCUUAUGUCUCCGUGACCUUUAUAGACCAAUGUCACCAACUUUUCCUAAGGUAAUUGUUUCCUACUGUCAAAUAGCUCUAGUGAUAUAAAUCUUAACAAUCAAUGAAGGGAAAACUGGUGGAAACAUAGGAGGAAAAAUACUGGGAUAAUUUUCAUCACAAAGUAUUGGCAUUAACAUUGGUUAGAAUAGGGGAGAAACUGCAUGACUUGACAACUGGACAUUCCUGUAUGUUGUAUGAGGCCCUGUCUUAACAGAAAUAGUGAUGUCAUCAUCAUCCUCUCUUAUUUGGUCUUGAAUUGCCACCAAUCGGAUAAAACCUUUGAAUUAUUUAACUCAAUAUAUGUUAAGUUUCUACUAUGUGCUGUGUAUUGGUACUAUAAAUAUGAAUAAGACAUAAGAUAUUACAUUCAAAAACAUCAGAAUACAUGUUCUUUUAAAGUAUACCCCAAAACAUUUACCAUGUGUUCUGGGGCGCAUGUUAGGCUGGAUCACAAAUCAAGUCUCAAGAAUUUCAAAAGAUUGAAAUCAUAUAGAGUAUGAAUUAAACCAGAAAUCAAGUACAUAAAGGUAACAAAAAAUUUCCAAAAUGCAUUAAUUUAAGGAACAUACACCUCAUGACCCAUGAGCCAAAAAAUAAAUCACGGCAAAAUUGCAAAAAUAUUUUGAAAUGAAUUUUAAAGAAAAUACUUAGCAUAUUAAAUACUUAGCAUAUUAAAGCUCUAAGUACAUAUGUUAGAAAUUUUACCGAAAGGUUGGCUAUCAGUGUUUCCAGAAGCCAGGGAAAAAGUUUAUACAAUUUGAUCGCUGAGGCAGGGAAACAAAGUGAGACCUCCGAUCGCCCUGCCUUUCUGAGGUGAGCACUCUGGAUCCCAUCGCAGGAGAUCAGAGUCUUGCUGAGUUGAGGAGAGGAAGAUUGGAGUUGAUACUGAGAUAGCUUGAAUUUUCAGGACAAAGUAUCAACAAGGAGGAAGGUAGACAAAAAAAUCCAGAAAUCUAUGUAGAGACCCCAUUGUGUACAUUGCGGAACACUAAGCCUAACAAUUCUCAAAAUUAGCGUGAGAUUGGGAAAUAUCUAAUUUCCAUCCAGCCACAGUGGAGAGUCCUGACUGAAAACCAGGCAUUCGCUAAAGAUCCCAGAAAGGUUGUGUGUUACAUACGUAGGGCUAAACUAUCCUGACUAAAAACUACACUACACUUGCUCCUCACCCCCACAAAAAGCUUAAAAACAAGCCUCAAUAGUAUAAAGCUGAUCUGUAAGUAACUAAACUACCUGCAGAACAAAGUCCAAAUUUAUUAGUUCCAGUACUCCAAAAAAAACACAUGUAAAAAAAAAAUAGAUUUACAAGACAUUUAUUUGGGGAAAAAAAGAAUGCCUGAGGGUUGAAAUGGAGAGGAAGCCAGAGAGACAGAGUCCUCAGAAUACAUAAAAUUUCUGGCCUCCAUGGAGGUGUGAUGGUUAAUUUUAUGCAUGUCAACUUCGCUGGGCCACAGGAUGCCCCAUAUAUGAUCGAACAUUAUUUCUGGUUGUGUUCAUGAAGCUUUUUCUGGAGGAAAUUCGCAUUUGAAUUGAUGGACUGAAUAAAGCAGAUUGCAGUCCCCAGUGUGGAUGGGCUUGAUCCAGUCUUCUAAGGACCCAAAUAAAAUAGGUGGAGGAAGCUUGAAUUUUCUGCCUGACUGUGGCGCUGGGACACCCAUCUUCUCCUGCCCUUGAACUGGGACUGACACCAUCAGUGCUCCUGGUUCUCAGACCUUCGGACAGCAGACUUGGGGCCUUCUCGGCCUCCAUUAUUGUAGGAGAAAAUGAGACACUGAGUGGGACUCAGGGAUUGCUCCAGGCCACACAGUCAGCAGGAGGCAAAGCCCAGAUUCAAAUGCAGAUUACUCAGCUCCACAAUCCACAUCCUCACAGGAGGCUGCACUCCUUGCCCAAGCGUCAGACAGGAGCAAAGAGAAAGAAGGCAACCAGCUGGCUACUUUCUUCCCUUCUUGGAUGCCUCCAACAGGGUGAGAAGGACUAAACAAAUGACCAAGUGUCAUCCCAUUUUGGACAUACUUAAAAC